rnacentral:rRNA from 1 species
GACGAACGCUGGCGGCGUGCUUAACACAUGCAAGUCGAACGGUGAAGCUCCAGCUUGCUGGAGUGGAUCAGUGGCGAACGGGUGAGUAACACGUGAGCAACCUGCCCCUGACUCUGGAAUAAGCGCUGGAAACGGCGUCUAAUACUGGAUACGAGAAGGGUCCGCAUGGGCACCUUCUGGAAAGUUAUUCGGUUGGGGAUGGGCUCGCGGCCUAUCAGCUUGUUGGUGAGGUAAUGGCUCACCAAGGCGACGACGGGUAGCCGGCCUGAGAGGGCGACCGGCCACACUGGGACUGAGACACGGCCCAGACUCCUACGGGAGGCAGCAGUGGGGAAUAUUGCACAAUGGGCGAAAGCCUGAUGCAGCGACGCCGCGUGAGGGAUGACGGCCUUCGGGUUGUAAACCUCUUUCAGCAGGGAAGAAGCGAAAGUGACGGUACCUGAAGAAGAAGCACCGGCUAACUACGUG